AAGAGGAACACACCGGCGGGAGAACACAGAACACGCACCCUUUCUUUUAGUCACCCUGGAGGCCUCGGAGAAGGCGGUUUCAGUGAUCCGUGAAGAGACCCCGAGUCUUUUACAUCCCGGAGAAUGACAAGAGAGCGAGUACCUGGGCGACGUUUACGUUCUGGGAUUUCGGGAGAUGCGGUUUUCUGCACGCCAGGGGCCAAGCCUGAGACGUAGAUGGACGGCAGGGAUAGGAGCUCUCUCCGCGCCACAAACGCCCCUGCUCAUACCUGGGUUCCUUGAUUUUCCUGCCUAUAUAACCCAGCCUCCCAUGGCCGGGCUCUGAGCUCUCAUUCUGCGGACUGGGACAAAGGGGUUAACUGUGAUGCGCUUUGUAUAACCCCAGGAUUCUGCACUUGCCCAAGGGCGAGGUGCAAAUCAAAAACUACGCACAACUGAACACCGAGAUCAGGUGAGUCCUGAGUGUCUCACGACAUAAAAUCCUUACGAUUUUAACAAGAGUUGUAUUUGUGCUAGCACUGUUAACUGACAAACGCAUGCCAGAUCCUAUCUGUCUUUAGCUCAAUGUGUGACGUUAGACACGUCGUUUUGCUCUUCAACUUUCUUAUUUGGAAAAAAAACAAGUGUUCUAGAUUUGCAGAGGACAUUUUCGGAGCUAAGUUCCAGUAGCUAUACUGUAAGUUGAUUUCUUGGGCAGUUCUGUUGGUGAGGAAAGAGGGCAAAUUGAGAAAUGAACAAACACAGAAGUUGCAAAAGCCCUGUGACUUACAGCACAGGACAAGUCUACAAACCCUGCCAUGCUACACUAAGCUCUAAUUGUUUUAACACCAGCUUACUCAGACCCGAUGAUCCAAGAUAAGACCAAAGCCAAACGGAUCCAGCAACUCUGCGCAGAUCUUCAUGUUCCAGCAGCUAAGUUCCACUGAAUAAACCUAUGAUUCGCCUAGUUUAGAAAUUGUCUAGUCCCUCCUGAGAAGGACCUUACUAACUUUCCCCCUAAAAGUGUCCUAUGAAUAGCUCCAGUCCCCAAACCCUUUAAAUUCUGGUCUCUGACUCACCCUUGUUUUAGGCAGUACUGGGACUCCACAGAGGAUCCCGACUCAGAUUGAAAAAGCAGAGGAUGGUCACUGCCUUCCAGGUCUGAGGCUGUCUCCCAGAAGCUUCACUCCUGGCUUCGCCUUGGUUCUCCAUCACUUUCUGAGUCCUACAGGAGGAAAGUGCUAUUGAAGAUGCGGCUAUGCCGUGAAGCUCUGGGGCUGGGAGAAGCUGUCCCACCACUUCCGGGCGGCGGUGGCGGCAAGGAGCAGUUUGUAUUCCCCGUUGUUUCUCCUGUUGACGACAUCUGUGCCUCUUAUCUGGGAGAAGAUCAGAGGAAACUGCCGCCUCCCUAGAGCCCGUGUUUUAUUGAUCCCCGUGUAAGAGUCUUGUUGCCCCUGCUUCCAUCCUCCCUUCUUUUCCACUCCUGCCACAGGUUUGGCACUUCUAGGUACUCAGGUGUCAGCGCAAAUUUCCCGUCUUUAGACAAGUACAGCUAAAAGUGAUGCCCACACGAUCUCUCAGUUCCUAUUACAUCUUCACAAAUAUCGUCUCCUCCGGAAAGUAUGUCUUUGAAUUAUUGGUUUGUUUUUCUCUCCCCUAGAAUGGGAGCUUCCUGAGUACCGAAACACUGUCUAUGUAGACUGUGUUUAACUCACUUCAUCACCAUGUGUAGAGUUAAGGUCCUAUAAAAUACGGUUACUGCCUUGAACAGAUGAGGUGAGUAGUAUAAGGAAACGGAGAUCAAACACAAAGCAAUACUUAAAAAAAUUAUCCUGCCACAUUUCUAAAAUCUUAAUAAUAGCAUUCACUAAUGUUUUUUGGUUUUCCUUUGUGCUUUCUCCAUAGCCCCUUAUUCUUAUCAUUAUUUUUGACAUUUGACUCACAAUUUUCCAUUUGUUUUCAAAUGACCAAGCAGAUUUUCCAAUUUUCUAGUUAAUUCCUGUGUUUCCUUCACCAUUCUGUUUUCUGGUUUUCUUUUGGGCUACUUCUCCUUCUCCUUCUUCUUCUUCUUUUUCUUUUUCUUCUUCUUCUUCUUCUUCUUCUUCUUCUUCUUCUUCUUCUUCUUCUUCUUCUUCUUCCUCUUCUUCUUCCUCUCCUUCCUCUUCUUCUUCCUGUUCUUCUUCUUCUUCUUCCUCUUCUUCUUCUUCUUCCUCUUCUUCUUCCUGUUCUUCUUCUUCUUCUUCUUCUUCUUCCUCUUCUUCUUCUUCUUUUUCUUCUUCUUCUUCUUCUUCUUCUUCUUCUUCUUCUUCUUCUUCUUCUUCUUCUUCUUCUUCUUCUUCUUCCUCUUCUUCUUCUCCUUCUCCUUCUUCUGCUUCUGCUUCUGCUGCUUCUUUUUCUUCUUUUUCUUACUUCUUAUAUUGGAUGCACUGAUUUCUUCUAAUGUUUUGUAACUUGGGUAUUCAAAGGUAUAAGUUAAAACGAGAAAGCAGUUUCUACAGAAUCCUUAGAAAUAUGUCGUUAUAAGCCCCCAUUUUCAUUAUAUUCUAAGGAGCUCGAAGAUAUACUUUUGAUUCUUUUCUAAACUGUGCAUUCGAGAGUUAAUCCCUUCUUGUUUACUUUUAUGUUCAGUCUUUCAAUGUUAUUUUCUAAUUUUUGUGUAUCAUUUUAUUUAUCAACACAUAAAUAUAUAUAUUCACAUAAAUAUAUGAGUUAUAUAUACAUGUAUUUAUGAAUGGCAGCUGAACCACAUAUUAGUGCUAAUAUUGGUGACUAAAAGUUGGAGAACCAGACACUAUGUACCUCAUAAAGCGAAGCAAUGGAAAGUGCACAAGCCCACCUAUCAAAUUGUCUUGUUAAAAGAUUCGAAGCUGAAUCUAAGUGAGCCUCUACUUUUAACUACCAGUUUACAAGAAAUAGAGUAGAUUAAGAAACAUGUCAAGGGGCAGGAAAUAGAUACAAUGAAAUAAAUACAACAUAGAGGUGUUUCUAAGGAUAAAAGGCCCAGUUCCUUCAACAAUUAACUGGCAUUAACUCUUUAUGAUACUAUAAGGGUAAAUAUAUGUCAUUAUACAUUUGUUUAAAAAAAAACCCAGGAUGUAUAACACAAAGAGCAAACUGUAAUGUAAACUGUGGACUUUAGUUAACAGUAAUGUAUUGAUAAUUACUGGUUUACCAAUUGUAACAAAUGCACCACACUGAUGCAAGAUGUUAAUAAUAGGGAAAAUUGUAAGAGAGGGAGAGUGAUGGAGUUUAUGGAAAUUCUAUCUAUUCUGAUCAAUUUUUCUUUAAACCCAGAACUUCUCUAAAAAAUAAUGUCUAUCAAUUUUAAAAAUAAUAUCAAUGGAAGAAAGACCAGGGACCUUUUAUGGGUGAAAAGAGUCUUAAAAAACAUAAAAAUCUGUAGAUUUUACUUUAUUAUUUAUAAUCAGCUAUUAGGAGAAAUUUUUUUGUAUGGCUGACAAUCAGAAAAAAAGUUAAUAUUAGAUCAUAUUUAUGAUCUAUUACCAAUUUGUUAACAAUAGGUACAUACACACAAGCAAACACGGCCCUAAAAUUUCCUAGUUCUCUCAAGCUAUUGAUUUCAUCCUUAUCUCUGCUGCUGAGUUCAAGAAAGUGAAAUGUGUAAUGGCUAUCUUUCCUUUCUGGUUUAUUUCAAAGUCAAGUUCUAAUAUAGGUAAACAAAUAAACUAAUAAAGAGAUAAUGCUUUUCUCAUGAAAUGUAUAAUCUAGUAGGAAUAAAGAUAAACAAUUUUUUUAAAAAUUCUAUUUCAUUAAGCAAAAAUGCAACUCGGAAGAAUAAUGUACAUUAGCAGUCAUUUACUAUUUUUCAAUAAAAUUCCGAUAUAUAUGUAAAGUAAAUUAUUACUAAUAUCAAACAUAGUUUAAAGAAUUAGUGACUAUGUGCACUUGGAUCUCCAUAUGUAAUGUACUAUCAGCAUCUUCACAAACACAGUAAAUUUUAAUAUGCAAAUAAAACUUAUUUUACUAAACGAUGAUUACUCCUUCUAUAUUCAUAUUCCUAAACACAUACAGUUUCUUAAUGUAAUUAAGUUUUUAACUAAAAAAAGGGAAAUGCAUUAUUGAGGCGAUAGGAUUACUGGGUGGCUAUAAACACAUCUGCUGCACAGCUGACAUUUAUCUUCUACAAUAAGCAAUGACAAUUUUAUUUUUUAAUAAUCAGUAUGGACUAAUCCUGAUGAUUUUUUUUAACAGUUUCAAAUAGGGCUGCAUAUGGCUUAAAAUUAAUAUAUAUAUGUGUACCUAUAUAGUAUUCUUAUUUAUUAAUGGACUUCCUACAUAGCUCAUAUUGACGUUAGAUUUAAAUGAAAUUCCAGAAGGGUUUUCUAUAGGUAAGUCAUACACUGGAUUUCCAUAUUACCUACGAUUAUUGAAGUAUUUAUUUCUGUUUUUAGGACUUCAGAGCAAUUUUGCUGGUCAUUUAUUUUCUGUGUUUUUAUUUUGAAAUUGUUCUUUGAUGCAUUGUCCUAUUACAUUUUUAAGGUAUG
rnacentral:lncRNA from 1 species